AGCUAAAUACCGGCCAGAGACCGAUAGCGCACAAGUAGAGUGAUCGAAAGAUGAAAAGCACUUUGAAAAGAGGGUUAAAUAGCACGUGAAAUUGUUGAAAGGGAAGCGUUUGCGACCAGACUUUUUCCAGGCGGAUCAUCCGGCGUUCUCGCCGGUGCACUCCGCCUGGUUGAGGCCAGCAUCGGUUUCCUUAGGGGGAUAAAGGCCUGGGGAACGUAGCUCCUUCGGGAGUGUUAUAGCCCCUGGCGUAAUACCCCUCGGGGGACCGAGGAACGCGCUCUGCAAGGAUGCUGGCGUAAUGGUCGUCAACGACCCGUCUUGAAACACGGACCAAGGAGUCGAACAUUUGUGCGAGUGUUUGGGUGUCAAACCCUCACGCGUAAUGAAAGUGAACGGAGGUGAGAGCCCUUACGGGUGCAUCAUCGACCGAUCCUGAUGUCUUCGGAUGGAUUUGAGUAAGAGCAUAACUGUUCGGACCCGAAAGAUGGUGAACUAUGCGUGGAUAGGGUGAAAGCCAGAGGAAAACUCUGGUGGAGGCUCGCAGCGGUUCUGACGUGCAAAUCGAUCGUCAAAUCUGCGCAUGGAGGGCGAAAGACU
rnacentral:rRNA from 2 species